AGUGAACGCUGGCGGUAGGCCUAACACAUGCAAGUCGAACGGCAGCACAGUAAGAGCUUGCUCUUACGGGUGGCGAGUGGCGGACGGGUGAGGAAUACAUCGGAAUCUACUUUUUCGUGGGGGAUAACGUAGGGAAACUUACGCUAAUACCGCAUACGACCUACGGGGGAAAGCAGGGGAUCUUCGGACCUUGCGCGAUUGAAUUAGCCGAUGUCGGAUUAGCUAGUUGGCGGGGUAAAUGCCCACCAAGGCGACGAUCCGUAGCUGGUCUGUGAGGAUGAUAAGCGACACUGGAACUGAGCCACGGUCCAGACUCCUACGGGAGGCAGCAGUGGGGAAUAUUGGACAAUGGGCGCAAGCCUGAUCCAGCCAUACCGCGUGGGUGAAGAAGGCCUUCGGGUUGUAAAGCCCUUUUGUUGGGAAAGAAAAGCAGCAGGUUAAUACCCCGCUGUUCUGACGGUACCCAAAGAAUAAGCACCGGCUAACUUCGUG
rnacentral:rRNA from 1 species